GUGCUCACGUUGGCAGCACAUAUACUAAAAUGGGAACACAGACAAUUAGCAUGGCCUCUGCGCAAGGAUGAUGCGCCAAUUCAGGAAGCGUUCCGUAUUUUU